UACGUAGGGUGCGAGCGUUGUCCGGAAUUAUUGGGCGUAAAGGGCUCGUAGGCGGUUUGUUGCGUCGGAAGUGAAAACUCAGGGCUUAACCCUGAGCCUGCUUCCGAUACGGGCAGACUAGAGGUAUGCAGGGGAGAACGGAAUUCCUGGUGUAGCGGUGAAAUGCGCAGAUAUCAGGAGGAACACCGGUGGGGAAGGCGGUUCUCUGGGCAUUACCUGACGCUGAGGAGCGAAAGUGUGGGGAGCGAACAGG
rnacentral:rRNA from 1 species